CGCCUUCUAUACUAAUCAUUGAUAUUAUGUUGAUAGUCCUAAGUAUAAAGCUAAGCUUUAUUACAACUGUCACAUAAACUUAACAUUAACCAAGAUAACUAAACAAAGACCAAUGAACCUUGAAAAAGAAGUCUAGGUCAGAUGAACCAUGCCAGGCAGACAGGUACAGCUAACAAUGCUUCUAUACAACAUAUAUAGUUGACACAUU
rnacentral:lncRNA from 1 species